UUUGAGUUGUACAAUCUCCCCGCCGUUGUCCUCCUUCUCUUUGGCCGCACCGUAACUUCUUCUCUCAAUGUAACCGUCGAUUCGGUUGGUUGGUCGGAAUUCCCCCGGCCGACGCUGGAAUUUAUUCGUUCUCUGAUUUCACCCUCGGUAAUAAUAAUGGCUUUGAAACACAAUUUUAUGCCCUUCGAGUUUCAUCUCGUCGUCUCAACAAAAUCCCUAGGAAGUUGCCACCGUCCUUCUUUUCCGGUUUCUCUUCCGUCGCUCCCCCGCCAUUCGCCGGUUGAAGAAGUCGCCUGCGUCCUCCGUUAUCGGGAAGAACAUCAUGAAGACCCCAUGUGCAGAUGAGGUUGUGAAUGAGGAUGAAAAUGUAGAUGUAUCUCCAUCAAAUUAUACUACAAAAGAUCAAAACAGUAGGAAGAGAAAAGGUAACGACGACGAUCCUUAUGUCAAGUGUAUAUACUCUGGUGCGUCAUAUACUAGUCCUUCAAAGGGGAAUGGAAUGGAAAAUGUGGAAGCACAUGCCGAGAACUAUCGCGACAAGUAUCCUUUUCAUAGCACUUGUUCUAAUAAUUCAUAUGAAGAAGGAAGGGAAGAUGAUGAGGAGGAAGAGGUAGGAGAGGAUUCAAAAAGUUAGGCUCUUCACUCAUUAGAGGAGUUUUUUUUGCAAAAGUUGCAAGAAUACUAAUUGCAAAAAUGAUCAUAAUUGAUAAAUUGCCCCUCAAGUAUGUGGAGGAGGACGGGUUUAGAAGGUUUAUGGAGCAGACUGUGUGUGAAUAUGCUCCAAGGUGGGACUCUACCUACAUGAUGCUGUAGGAGGCAAAAAAGUUUGAAAAGGCGUUGGAGAAACCAGAGAUCCAUGGCAUGACCUAUUUGAAGGGGGACCUUCCCUCUAGUAGAGAUUGGGAGGUAAGAUCACUUGUUCAUUGUUUAUCGGUAUUUCAUAAAACGAGUCUAAAACUUUCCGGUUCGCUUCAUGUCCCUUCAAGUAGGAUCUUUCAUGAGAUUAGCACCUACAAAAUUUCAUCAAAA